AAAGCUUAAAAUCUCUGCACAAUUUUUUGUGCGGCGAAUUGUAGUCUAUAGAGGCGUGGUCAGUGUAGGCACUUGGGUUAAGUUCCUUGAAAGAGGACAGCCAAUGAGGGUGAUACUCCCGAUCAUACUCGAGUGACUUAUGCGUACGACCCGUUUUCUUUGAGUCGCGUUGUUUGAGAAUGCAGCGCAAAGUAGGUGGUAAAUUCCAUCUAAAGCUAAAUAUUGGUGCGAGACCGAUAGCAAACAAGUACCGUGAGGGAAAGAUGAAAAGAACUUUGAAAAGAGAGUUAAAGAGUACCUGAAACUGCUGAAAGGGAACCGGAUCGUUUCUAGUGUCUAUUAUCUGUGACAUAUUCCAUUGGGGAGCGUGUGCGUGUGUAUACUGUGGCAGCGGCUAWUUUUGGCUGCGCUUGGUGUGCGUGCUGUAUGUGCAUUCUGGUGCCCUGUGUUGCGGUGGGACGUCAAUGUCGGUUCGUAUACUGCGGGAAAUGGCUACUGAGGAGGUAGGGCUUACGCUUGCGUUUGUCUGUUAUAUCUGGGUGGUUAUGCUGCGGUUGGGACUGAGGUGUUCUACAACGUGCUUUUGAGUGGGACUGCGUCUCCGUGUGCACUGUGCGCAGAUAGCUUGCUAUGUGUGUGUGGUUGUGUGUGGAUUGAUGC
rnacentral:rRNA from 1 species